GCAAUACAUAGCUCCUAUUCUUUUCUAUAAUUGGCACUUUAGCCUGCUACAACAACACCGAGUAACUUAGAAAAACAGCCAACAUGGAUACUCAACCCUUGAAGACUCUUUAACAUCACUAAAGAUCGAUUUUUCUCAUUCGGGUCUCUCUGGGCUGGCUUACUGUUUGGAUAGAAGUAUGAAUUUGUGCAUGUAGGGAUCAGGCCAUUUGAAUGGAGAUCUCUCAGUGGAAUGUAUAAUUAGACAGAGGCCGGUGAAGGGAGAAAGAUUGGACUUCAAUAGACAAAUGCCCUCUGCUCUGCAGUCUUUGUGUGAGGAAAGGAAACACAUCCCCCCCCCCACCUCCAUCUCUGAGCCAGACGAAACCUGUGGUGUUCUGACAGUCCAAGAAAAGUGAAUUUUACAGAGCCCAUGCACGUAUCAUUAGAGUGUUAAAAGAAGCGCGGCUGGUGCCGUGGGUCUCCUCCUGUGCUGCCUUCCCUCUAAACGUGUGACACUGGCUGGCUGAGAGCAUGAGAACGGAGCCUUUUGAAUAGCAGGAUCCUCAUACUUGGCUAGUAACCAUGGAAGCAGAUGCCUACUCUCUUUGCCCUCCUUACCUCCUUGCUCCCUCAUUGAAAAGAGGGCACGCCUCGCUUUCUUCUUCCUGACCGAACUUGCCUGGCCCUCAAAGGGAGCGAUUGAGCAGGUCACUGGUCUAGACUUGUUUGCAUGGUCCACGGAACAGCCUUGAGGUAACCCUUGCUCCCUGUGCGUCGCACCACCGUACACUGCAGGGGGGGACAUCGGAGAUGUGAAUUUGAAAAGGAGCUCCGUCCGAUUUUGCCUUUGUGCCUUUUUCCCCUCAUCGAUCGGCUGAAUAUCGAACCCUCAGUCUGUGCAUGUGUGAAACGGAUAGCUUAGUAAGCAUUUUUUCUAAUCAAGCUCGCGUUGUGGGCCAACUCUCUCGUUUUUCUCUCUCGUACUUAGCCGCCUUGAACCCUCCCUCUCUCUCUGUCCCUCUUUCUCCAUUUUUCUCUCUCUCUCUUUUCCUC